UCUGUUCUGCCGGGGUGAAAGGCAUGCUGGGAUACUGGAGAGACCCAGAGCUGGCUCCAGGGUUUCCAGAACCAUGGCCGCCUCAGUGACUCUACUCAGACACACCUUCUCCAGGCUCCUCUGGCCAAUGGUGUCAGGAGCUGUCCUGUUGGUGGCUCUGUGCUCUGUGGAGAACCUGGGGGUUCAGCUCCCUGGCCCGCUCCCUCCUCACCCUCCUGUCCCUCUACAGGGGCCAACUGGGCUCCUGGACCCCCUCCCUGUCCAUGUCUCUCUCCUCUCAGCCCCAUCAGCUCCACAGCUCCAACAGCCUGUCUGUCUCUCUCUACCACUGAGCUCUAUGUCUCACCCUCAAUGUGGCCUGGACAGCACUGGUACACAUUCAACUGUUUAUGCCCAC